AGGGUUCGAUUAUGGCUCAGGAUGAACGCUGGCGGCGUGCCUAAUACAUGCAAGUCGAGCGAGAAGUCACAUUACUAAUUCUUCGGAAGAAGUAAAGUGAUGGAAAGCGGCGGACGGGUGAGUAACGCGUAGGCAACCUGCCUCUCACAGGGGGAUAGCCAUCGGAAACGGUGAUUAAUACCCCAUAAAGUCAAAAUAACACAUGUUAAACUGACCAAAGAUUUAUCGGUGAGAGACGGGCCUGCGUCUGAUUAACUAGUUGGUGAGGUAACGGCUCACCAAGGUGACGAUCAGUAGCCGACCUGAGAGGGUGAACGGCCACAUUGGAACUGAGACACGGUCCAA
rnacentral:rRNA from 1 species